GGUUGCGUGUGCGUCCCGGCUCAACGAAAGCGCUUCAGAGCACCAUAAGCGGCUACUUGCUCAACAAUCUCUAGUCCACAUUGAAGCUUUGCUUGUCCCUGAAGCUCCUCACCGUGAAGUAACGACAGUGUUCUCGCUGAAGAGCAAAUAGAGGACGAGUAUGAAAUGCCUCAGGAGGAGGCGGAGGAAGAAGAGAUGUUGAGUGAGGGAGCAAUGCGACAUUGGAAAUGGAUGAGGCUGUGGACGCUGAUGACACGCAAAGGAAGAAAUCGUAUGCUUCAAUUCUGGUUGAGCAACUCCAGCACCUCUCAACACUGUCGCCUGCUGCUGGUGGUAAGCCCGUUUCGUCUGCAGCGCAAGCAAACUCAUUGCCUUCUCCAGCUCUUCCUCCUCCCAGUGGUAGAAGAAGCUACCGCGCCAUCAGACGUUGAAGCCUCGAAGGUAACUUACUGCUGAUGAUUCGCAGCCGGAGACGAAAUGCGGUGUGUUAUGACCAUCACUGCUCCCCUGCUUGAUGAAGGUUUUCAGAGGUUGGAGCUGUCAAGCCAAUGUGAAAAAGGUAAUGAGGUUGAUCGUGUCUGGGGUUUGUGGAUUAACUAGUGGUUAAAUUGAAAAUAGUAAAUUGAAUAUAGAUAUAUAUAGAUAUAUAUGUUUUUUAAAUCAAAAUUUCUCUGUAUGGUUUA